GUGUAAAAUGUUUUUCUUAUUACUAAACCCCUUUGAUGAGUCUUUCUAUUUUACAACCCUAAUGCUGGCAUGGGAAAAGGUUGCUAGUUAUAAAAGACAAACAGUCAUGGUGCAAAUCAGUUGUAAAACGCGCUCGCUCAGCUUAUAUUGGGGUGUCCUUAAAAGUGGUGCUGAGAAAAACCAUUUCGUAAGUUGCUUUCCUGUUAUUAUAAAGUACAUUUCAUCUGUACUUGCGCUAAAUAUUAGGACGACGCAUUUGGUUAUUAGACCACCCAUUAAGUGUACCUAACAGGAAUUUAGGCUUAUAUUGAAAUUGCUUCCAAUAGUUUACGUGCCCGUAUAUGAAAUCUUGGUG